rnacentral:rRNA from 1 species
CUACGGGUCGCACCAGCAAGGAAUUUUGUGCAAUGGGCGAAAGCCUGACACAGCGACGCCGCGUGGGGGAAGAAGGUCUUCGGGUUGUAAACCCCUUUUCUCAGGGAAGAACAAUGACGGUACCUGAGGAAUAAGUCACGGCUAACUACGUGCCAGCAGCCGCGGUAAUACGUAGGUGGCGAGCGUUAUCCGGAUUUAUUGGGCGUAAAGAGGGUGUAGGUGGUCUUUCAAGUUGGAUGUAAAAUCUCUCGGCUUAACCGGGAGGGUGUGUCCAAUACUGUUAGGCUGGAGGGCAGCAGAGGGAGGUGGAAUUCCCGGUGUAGUGGUGAUAUGCGUAGAUAUCGGGAGGAACACCAGUGGCGAAGGCGGCCUCCUGGGCUGUUGCUGACACUGAGACCCGAAAGCGUGGGGAGCGAACAGGAUUAGAUACCCUUGUAGUC